rnacentral:ribozyme from 12 species
AUGAAGAUGGAAAAACAUACAAGCAAAGAGAAAAAAAGGAAAAAGAAAAAGAGGGUAGGCUUUGUUUGAAGGAGUUUCUGUUUU